GUUGUAGGUCCUUGGAAGAGGAUCUAUGUUUUUUCACAUCACACACCGUCGUAUGUCUAUAGAAUGUAUUGAAGACCGUCCGAUGGCGGUCGAUAAAUAAAUCAUACAACUUUCAGCAACGGAUCUCUUGGCUCUCGCAUCGAUGAAGAACGCAGCGAAUUGCGAUAAGUAAUGUGAAUUGCAGAUUUUCAGUGAAUCAUCGAAUCUUUGAACGCACCUUGCGCUCCUUGGUAUUCCGAGGAGCAUGCCUGUUUGAGUGUCAUUGAAUUUCUCAAACCUAUGUUUCUUUGGGACAUGGGCUUUGGAGUUGGGGGCUGCUGGCGGCAAAAAGCUGUCGGCUCUCCUGAAAUGCAUUAGCAAAGGAUGGCAAGUCUUUUGACGUGUACGGCCUUCAACGUGAUAAUGAUCGUUGUGGCUGGAGCGUCGGACAUGCAUGAAUCAUCUGUGCUGCUUCUAAUCCUACUUAGGCUAGCCUUGGCUUGGUCAAUUAGCUACUAGUCGGUUGUGAGACUGAUGAAUGGUUGAGCACGCUGAGCUUUAGGCUUGUCUCUAUUCGAAACUUGA
rnacentral:rRNA from 1 species